GCGUGAACGAUGAAGGCCUUCGGGUUGUAAAGUUCUUUUUAGCGGGAUGAGGAAGGACAGUACCGCUAGAAUAAGUCUCGGCUAACUACGUGCCAGCAGCCGCGGUAACACGUAGGAGACGAGCGUUAUCCGGAUUUACUGGGUGUAAAGCGCGUGCAGGCGGCAUGGUAAGUUGGAUGUGAAAGCUCCUGGCUUAACUAGGAGAGGUCGUUCAAGACUGCCAGGCUAGAGGACAGCAGAGGGGAGUGGAAUUCCGAGUGUAGCGGUAAAAUGCAU
rnacentral:rRNA from 1 species